UUAUUUUUUUUGCAGAGGUGACAUGUACCCUGAGAGUGGCCUACGACAUCUCUAAGUAACUAGAUUACUUGAAAAACAUCUUUAUUGAUAUCAAUUUAUUCAACAUUGCAUGGCUCAAGCAGGAGAACCAACAAUUAUAUUAUUGUUCUAUACAACAACAGUUUGGAAUUUGAACAUUAUGGGUCUUGCAAUAGUGUCUGGAUCGAUGUUGCAUUAUACGAUGACACAUGUCUUCACACCUCGGGCUAUUACAGGGAUCGAGAGUCUCACAAACCACAUUAUGAACAGAUUCUGCAAAUGCAACAUGUACACACAUAUCAAACAAGAUAUAUUAGCAAUGUGUUGACUAAUUUGAACAAUAGGAAAGUUCACAAAAAAUAGGGGUACAAAAUGCCACAUACCAGUGCCUGCAUGGCAGGAUGGGAAGGUAGAACACAUCAUGGAAAGCACCAUGAAAGCAAUAGCUAUGGAACGCAUGACCGUCGGCCAUCCUGCACUGUUCUUAGCGAGUGCCAUGAGGACAAAGAGAUUAGUUUUUUUCCUGCUUCUCCUUCUUUCUUAUGUUCCUAUAUGACCACUUCCUAUAUAUAGAGAGCCACAAUAACAUCUUAGAUAAUGAUCUCUCAUUAAUGUAUUUCCACUACCAAUAUUGUUGCCAAAUCUUGCCGAUUCAGGAUAAAUUUUGUUCGGUCUUUUAUAUGGA
rnacentral:lncRNA from 1 species